GCGCUAGUCCGUACGGGGUGCCAGAGACUGUAAGUGGGGCUUGAACUCGGCUGCGCGCCUGUGGAAGUUCUUUCUUUACUCGAAAGAGGGAAAGCAUUUCCUUGAGUUUGCAUUUUAGGGGAAGCUUACAGCAUUGACACUUUGUUUAAAAUAUUCACUACUGCUGUAGAAAAAAAAAAAAAAACGAAAAACAGUGGGGUUGUUUCUAAGACGCUGGGAAUCAGUAAAGAAGAAUAGUGAUCCGGGACAUACUGGAAGCAAAUGAUCUGAGCUCAAAAAACGAGCUGCUUUCAGAGAUAUUAGUAUUUUAGAGAUGCGAUACAGGAGAGUGAACUCAAGCAGAGCCCAGCGGAUUGCCUGCGUUGGCAAAAUAGAACAGAUAUUCUGGGGAGACCAAGAAAUGGUUCCUCUCUGUUGCUGAGGCUGGAGUGCAGUGGCACUAUCUCGACUCACUGCAGACUCUGCCUCCUGGGCUCAAGAAAUCCUUCUACCUCAGCCUCCAGAGUAGCUGGGACUACAGGGUAAAAGCUAGAAACUUUCAUGAUUAUGAAGAAUCUGGGAAGCAGAGAAAAAGAACACUGAACAAGGCAGAAGCUACCUGGGUCUGCAUAAUAAAGAGCUAAGCCAGAGAGAAACGAGGUUUUCACUUCAUCACCCAGGCUGGAGUGCAGUGCCUUGAUCAUAUCUCACUGCAGCCUCAACCUCCUAAGCUUAAAGGAUCCUCCCAUCUCAGCCUCCUCAAUAGGUGGGACUAUGGGUGCAUGCCACCACACCUGGCUAAAUUUUUUUUUUUUUUGCAGAGGCAAGGUCUUGCUUUGUUGCCCAGGCUGCUGGUCUUGAACUCCAGGCUUCAAGCAAUCAUCCCAUCUUGGCCUUCCAAAAUGCGGGGAUUACAGGCAGCAUUUUGGAAGGUGACCUGGCCUGGCCUAGAUCUUAUUGUUUAGUAUACAGAAAUAAUCACUUUUUAAAUCAUGCGACCUGUAAAUUAUGUAAAUCUCUAUUAAAUGAUAUCAUAUGUCAUUAUCAAAUGCAUUAGAUCUCUCUUCCUCUAACUAAUGAAACUUUCUUCUCUCUCUGAUAGUGAAGUGGAUAGUGCUGAUCUGAUAUCAUCACUAUUAUUGGUCAAAAUUAGCAAAAGUUGUAAGAACAUGUCAAUGUUCUAAAUUUUUCUUAUUCUUUCAACACUUGGUCAGCAUGUAGUUUGUCAUGAGAAACCAAGUAUGAAAUUUUGCCUCAAUUUUUUUCUAGUAUAUAACAAGGACCAUCGGCAUUCUAGAUGACAAUAUGUAUGAUGACAUCUAUAAGAUGACAAUAUAUAUGUCUUUGCCGCCCAUCCCCAUCAACUAUAGCAAUUCUACAUUUUAAAUUAUGUUACUUGUAGUAUUCUACUUACAAGUGCUAAUUCUGCAUCAGCCAAAACAUGUUAAGCUAUGAGCAACAAAUAUUCACUAAACAAUAACUGAAAAAAGUAAGAAGUUUAUUGAUUUUACUUAAGAUAUAGAGAAAUAUGGCAGGUGCUAUUGCCUAAAUAUUGGCAGUUCCCCAAAAUUCAUAUGUUAAAACCUAGUCCUAAGUCUGGUGGUGUUAAGAGGUAGGACUUUGGGGAGGUAAUUUGGUCAUGAGGUCUUCAACUUUAUAAUUGGGAUUGGCACCAUUAUAAAAGAGGCCCAAAGGAGCUUAUUUCCCUCUUCUGCCACAUGAGGAUGCAGCUGGAGAGUACCAUCUAUCAAGCAGAGAGCAUGACCUCACCAGACGUUGAAUCUAGUGCCCUGAUCUUGGACUUCCCAGCCUCCAGAACUCUAAGAAGUUUAUAAAUUAUGCAGUCUAAAGUGUUUUGUUAAACUAGCCCAAAUGGACUAAAAUAGCAGGUAUGGUGAUUCUAUGAUAAAAUUAUAAACCAAUGAUUUUUUCUUUUUUUUUUUUGUCUGAUUGUUAUUGGCACUUGGCUUUUCUACAUCACAUUUAUCAUUAUAUACCUGCAACAUUUCUAGAAAUCAUAUUUCAGUUGAUGCUAUAUAUGUAGGCUCACACUAUAUCUAUAUAUAUAUAUAAAGCUAUAUAUAUGCUGUAUAUAAUAGGCUUUAUAUAUAUAUAGCAUCAGCCUAUUAAUUAAGAAAAAUUGUGUCAUGAAUAGACCGUGUGUUUUCCUUAAGUAGAAAAGCCAAUACAAAUGAACAAUAUUCAGUUUUACCUAAAAUGUCACACUGCAGAAAAACAAAUUACUAUACAACAUUCAAUAGAUGUAACAAGAGAGGAUGAAGGAUCUUAGUGCACAGACAGAUGGGUUUUGAAAUCACGGAAUUAAACAGUUAAAUGUAUUUGAGCCUAUCGUUUUAUCACAGGAUUUCAGAUAGUUUUACUUGGUAAAUUGCAUUGUGCACUCCAAAAGAGUGAAUGUGAAAAGCAUAUUUUCCAUCUUUUAAACUAAAGAACAAGUAUGUACUUUGUUUAUUGUGUUAGCCAGCUUAGGCUGUCAUCACAACUUACCACGGAGUAGAGAGCUUAAACAGAAAUUUAUUUUGGCCUUACCUCUGUGUGAGCCUAGAAGGAGAGAGCUCUAUGCUGUCUCUUCCUCUCCUUAUAAGGACACCAGCCCUAUGGGUGUGGAGCCCCACCCUUAUGACUUUAUUUAACCUUAAUCACAUCUUUGAAGGCCCUGUCUCCAAACACAGUUACAUCUGAAGUUAGAGCUUCAGCAUCUGAAUUAUAGGAAGACACAAUUUAGUCCAUAACACUUUGUAAUUUUAUAACAGCUUAAAUUUUAAUUUUAAUUAAUAUAAUGGGAGAACCUUGGUAUAGCUAUUAAAUAGUGUGUAGUUUUAAGAGCAUAUUAAAUAAAACUAUUCCUACAUUUUAGCUAAAGGCCUUUGGCGGAAGGAAUUUUCCAAAGAUGGCUUCUUUUAAAAUAUAUUCCAUUCUGUAUAUUCUUAUAAUGAGACUUUUGUAUUUGUUCCAGUGAGUAUUGACUUUAUAUCUCAUAACGCCAGAGUCAGGUGGAUUUUGUGACUGCCUCAACCAAUAAAGUAUGAAAUAAGUGGCACUAUUUGACUUCUGUAGCUGGUAUGCAGCUACACAGCCUGCUUCUCUCUGAACAUUGGCCCUGAGAGAAACCAGCUAUCAUGUGAUCUGUACAACUUCUCAGAGGCUUCCAUGCCGUGAAGAAACCCAAACUAGUGCAUGUGGAGAGAACAUCUGGAAAGGACUCGAGUCUACAUGAAAAGAGAUUUCUGACCAAUACCCAGCUACUCUAGUUCCCUGCUGUUUCAUAUCCAGCCAUUAUCUGACUGUAACCGCCUGAGAGACCUUAAAUCAGAUCGGCUCAUCUGAACCCCUUCCUGAUCUGGAAAAGUCAUGGAUAAAAAUAAAAUAAUUAUUUUUAUUUCAA